GAUAGUUCCACUAUCUGCGAAGCACUCAAUGUCUCUAUGAGACAUAACUACAAGGAGUAGAUAGGCGAGUAAAUAGUUCUACUUGAACCAUUUAGAAGGAUUGAAAGAAGCUACGAAAAGCUGCAAUCUUGAGAGUGCAUAAAAAUUUCCGCGCAGAAUGACCUUUGCGCACUAAAACAGCCAUAACUUCUUCGUUAAAAUAGAUAUGGACAAACCGUGAAAAUUUCUGAAAACUAGACUCAUAGAGCUUUCCAAUGAUAUAAAGCUCACUGUCUGGUUCGUCCGGAGCUGUUCACAAAGCUCAAACGAAGUUGACUGUCCAGAAGGGACAGAUUGCUGUUUUUCGCAGAUUUGGCAUGUGCGAAGCUGUGAAGCUUGCAGGUGGCGUGUAGGCUUUUGCCUUAGCCAAAUGUGACGUGUGUAUGAUCAAAACCGAGUCCUUUCGAUCGUUCUAAGGUCGUAAACUCCAUGACAAGUUAGCAAAAGCUCCUUGACAUGAACAUAAACUAACUCAGAGGACCUAGAGGAUCCAAUUAUGAUAAUAAUUUUUCAGCUUUGAUAAGUCUUCAACGUCUUUUGCAAGACGGCAAUUGGUUUAAUAGCGUAGGGGGAUCCAAAAUCAAAAGCUUUCGGUAACUCCAAGUCAGUAUGACCAGGCAUGUCCGUGGAGGGUCGGUAGAGCGAGGCACACUUAAAACCACUAUCUCCUUAAUUUCGGACAAUUCUACGACAUCACACUGAGUUUGGAUGAGCCUAGUUGAACAAUUGAUGAUGAAAAAUCCGCUAUAGGGUAGAAGACUUCACCGGAAACACGUGGGUGAUCCUCCUUGGGGAUGCAGUGCCAUGAGUCACCUUCAAAGGAAGGGACCAAAAUCGGCACAAUAUGCCAUGUUUCUAAGGACGAUGUAAGUGUACAUCUUGAUUGUAAAUCAAUAUGAACUAUAAGAGGAGAAUAGUUUCACUUUGAAAAAUUCUCAAGGCAUUCAUUAUUGCUAAUGUGAGUACAUCGAGGUCUCAAAUAGACAAAGGACGUCGAUACAACGCCUUAGUACAUAUAACUUGGAACGAAAAUCAAUGUCUAGCCGAUGACAUCAAAGUCAUGGGUAGCUAGAGCAGGAUCCGAAUCUUUGAAAUUCGCGAUCAUGAGGAUGACGUUCUUGUCCUCAUAUUGAUUUUCCAUACAUUUUUGUAUGCAUUCACAAUUUAAAGGAGCUUGACAAUCUUGAACCAGUGAUCCGAAGAUCCACAAUGGUUGCAUUAAUGUCAUGAGCUGACGUGAGUAGUUUUGACAAAAUGGUGUCUAGACUGGGAGUGUCGCUAUUAGAGCCGGCAACACCUCCCCCUCUUUUCUAGACAUCGGCACGACGUUUUCUGCCGUUGCCAUGACCCAUAUUGUUGUCCCCCACAUUAGGGGGAUAAUCCCAAAUAAGUUUAUCACAUUAGCGUAUAUACAAUUCCUGUUUGUAUGAUCAAAAUCGAGUCUCGUUGGUAAUUCCACACCAACUUGGAG
rnacentral:lncRNA from 1 species